ensembl:lncRNA
CCUCGACCCUCGCCCUCCCAAAUCCACUCGCAUCCCACUAAUGCACUCGCCUUGACACGCUGACCUGCUCCGGCCCCCCCCCCCCUGCAUCCCGCACCCCCCCUGGGGACCAUCGGUGUCACCGUGGCAACGAGUGAUGGUCAGCAGCCGGUGACCUGGGAGCCCUGGAGGGAGCCCUGGCCCUGCCCGGGGUCAGCGGGGUCAAUCAAUCUCAUUGCUAUGCACAGAGAUCUUCGUUACUGGCUGCCUGGAUCCGGGUGUUCCACCAACUGGUGCGAACCAAAAGGCCAACUCUGCCUGGGCUGUGGCCGCCUCUGCCCGCUGAGCCCGUCCCACUCGUCACACUGAUGGGCCUGGGAAGGGUGUCCUCUGCUGAGGCGCUGCUGCCCACAUCCCUGAGCAUCCAUGUGUCAGUGUCCCUGAGCAUCCUGCAGCCCUGAGCAUCCCACAUCCCUGAGCAUCCCGUGUCUCUGAGUAUCCUGCAUCCCAGAGCAUCCUGUGCUCACUGAGCACCCCAAAUCUCCGAAUAUCCCGGUGACUCUGAGUAUCCCGCAUCCCUGAGCAUCCUUUGUCCCUGAGCAUCUCACAUCCUUAAGGAUCCCAUGCCUCUGAGCGUCCCAUGUCCCUGAGCAUCCUGCAUCCCUCCAUCAUUGAGCAUCCCUGAGCAUUCCUGCAGCCCUGAGCAGCCCUGAGCAUCCCACACUCUCAAUCUCUAAGCAUCCUGCAUCCCAGAGCAUCCCAGCAUCCUUUAGCAUCCUAAAUCUCCAAGCAUCCUGAAUCCCAAAGCAUCCCAGUGUCCUGGAGCAUCCCAUAUCCCCAGUCUCUAAGCAUACGUCAUCCUAAAGCAUCCUUGCAUCCCUGAGCAUCCCACAUCCCACAGCAUUCCCAAACAUCCUGCAUCCCUGAGCAUCCCUGAGCAUCCCUUAAUCCCUCAGAAUCAUUUAGCAUCCUGCCUCCCUAAGCAUUCCAAAACAUCCCUGUGUCCUGGAGCAUCCCCACAGCCUGGAACAACCCAUAUCCCCAAUCUCUAACCAUCCUGCAUCCCAAAGCAUCCUUGCAUCCUUCAGAAUCCUUUAGCAUCCUGCAUUCCUAAGCAUCCCAAAGCAUCCCUGUGUCCUGGAGCAUCCCCACAUCCUGGAGCAUCCCAUAUCCCCAGUCUCUAAGCAUCCUGCAUCCUAAAGCAUCCUUACAGCCCUGAUCAUCCCAGAGCAUCCCUGCAUCACUGAGCAUCCCAGAGCAUCCCUGAGCAUCCCGCAUCCCAAAGCAUCCCCAUGUCCAGGUGCAUCCCCACAUCCCAGGCCAUCCCAUAUCCCAACCACCCCACAUCCCUAAGCCUGCAGGUCCCAGCUGUGGGGCUGAGGGUGCAGCAGGAGCCCCGCAGGGGUGGAGGGCUGCGGAGGGUGACGGCGACGUAGCACCUACUCUAAUGGGAUCCUCUCCACAAGUAAUUAAGCCUCGGCUAAUGCUAACCGUAAUGUGAUGUAUGUAUGCCUUUAACUAAUCAUUUAUUAGCCUCGUUGAUGGUUUGUCAAUAUUAAUUCAUUUAUUUAAACAACUCCGAGCUGUAAUGAAGAUGUUUGCUUUAAGGGGGAAAAAAGAGAUGGAGCUGCCAGGAGAUUUUUUGUUGACUCGAUGGAUGUCGCUCUGCCCUGGCUGAUGAGCACCAUCCCUGUCCUCGUGGCUCAUAUCCCCACUGCUGCCCACAUCCCC